rnacentral:rRNA from 1 species
CGCGGCCUAUCAGCUUGUUGGUGGGGUCAAGGCCUACCAAGGCAACGAUGGGUAGCUGGUCUGAGAGGAUGAUCAGCCACACUGGGACUGAGACACGGCCCAGACUCCUACGGGAGGCAGCAGUGGGGAAUCUUGCGCAAUGCGCGAAAGCGUGACGCAGCAACACCGCGUGAGGGAAGACGGCCUUAGGGUUGUAAACCCCUUUCACGAGGGAAGAAACUGACGGUACCUCGAGAAGAAGCCCCGGCCAACUACGUGCCAGCAGCCGCGGUAAUACGUAGGGGGCGAGCGUUGUCCGGAUUUAUUGGGCGUAAAGGGCUCGUAGGCGGCUUGGCAAGUCGGCCGUGAAAACCCAGGGCUCAACCCUGGGACGCCGGUCGAUACUGCCAUGGCUAGGGUCCGGUAGAGGGGAAUGGAAUUCCCGGUGUAGCGGUGAAAUGCGCAGAUAUCGGGAGGAACACCAGUAGCGAAGGCGGUUCCCUGGGCCGGCACCGACGCUGAGGAGCGAAAGCGUGGGGAGCAAACAGGAUUAGAUACCCUGGUAGUCCACGCCGUAAACGUUGGGUACUAGGCGUGGCGUCUUAUCAACGGAUGCCGUGCUCGAAGCUAACGCGUUAAGUACCCCGCCUGGGGAGUACGG